rnacentral:rRNA from 1 species
AACGAACGCUGGCGGCAUGCCUAACACAUGCAAGUCGAACGAGACCUUCGGGUCUAGUGGCGCACGGGUGCGUAACGCGUGGGAACCUGCCCUUAGGUUCGGAAUAACUCCCCGAAAGGGGUGCUAAUACCGGAUAAUGUCUUCGGACCAAAGAUUUAUCGCCUUUGGAUGGGCCCGCGUUGGAUUAGCUCGUUGUUAGGGUAAAAGCCUACCAAGGCGACGAUCCAUAGCUUGUUUGAGAGGAUGAUCAGCCACACUGGGACUGAGACACGGCCCAGACUCCUACGGGAGGCAGCAGUGGGGAAUAUUGGACAAUGGGCGAAAGCCUGAGCCAGCAAUGCCGCGUGAGUGAUGAAGGCCUUAGGGUUGUAAAGCUCUUUUACCCGGGAUGAUAAUGACAGUACCGGGAGAAUAAGCUCCGGCUAACUCCGUG